rnacentral:rRNA from 1 species
AUUGAACGCUGGCGGCAGGCCUAACACAUGCAAGUCGAACGGUAACAGGAAGAAGCUUGCUUCUUUGCUGACGAGUGGCGGACGGGUGAGUAAUGUCUGGGAAACUGCCUGAUGGAGGGGGAUAACUACUGGAAACGGUAGCUAAUACCGCAUAACGUCGCAAGACCAAAGAGGGGGACCUUCGGGCCUCUUGCCAUCGGAUUUGCCCAGAUGGGGUUAGCUAGUAGGUGGGGUAACGGCUCACCGAGGCGACGAUCCAUAGCUGAUCUGAGAGGAUGACCAGCCACACUGGAACUGAGACACGGUCCAGACUCCUACGGGAGGCAGCAGUGGGGAAUAUUGCACAAUGGGCGAAAGCCUGAUGCAGCCAUGCCGCGUGUAUGAAGAAGGCCUUCGGGUUGUAAAGUACUUUCAGCGGGGAGGAAGGGAGUAAAGUUAAUACCUUUACUCAUUGACGUUACCCGCAGAAGAAGCACCGGCUAACUCCGUG